rnacentral:lncRNA from 10 species
CUCCACUUCAACAGCAAUCAACUUGGGCAAACUCGCUUAUCCUCCACCACCACUCACAUCCCUCUACCUGGGUUAUUCUGAAGCAGAUACCAGGUGUCUGGCCAUUCCAUGGUAGAACUCAUCCUUGACUUUUUUCUCUGGUUCCACACAUCCAAUCCAUCAGCACGUUCCAUUGUUUUUGUUUGUUUGUUUUUGUUUUUAAUCUCCAAGGAUACCCUGACUGUGUCCUGCCCUCUAUCUCCAUCAGUGUUACUCUAGUGCGGGCACCAUCUUCAAUCACCUGGACCACUCCAAGAGCCUCUUAAUUGGUUUUCCUGCUUCUCUUGCCCACAUAUUUUGAGCCCUUGUUCUCAGGAAAGCAGUCUGCCAUUUUGUGAGUAUCCCUGAGAAGAGGCCCAUAUGGCAAGGAACUGAUGCCAUCAACAGAGUGAGAGUAUGAACACUGCCAACAUCCACAUGAGUGAGGUGGGGAGCAGAUGUCCCUGUCCAGCCUUGAGAUGACUACGGCCCCAGCAGAUACAUGAUUGCAGUCUUGUCACAGAUCCCAAGUGAGAGGCUCUCAGCUAAGUGGCUCCUGGAUUCCUGACCCACAGAAACUGAAGACUGACAGCUGGGUGAUGUGAAAGGGAC